rnacentral:rRNA from 1 species
GACAGAGGCCUCGAGCGUUAGGCGGAAUCACUGGGCUUAAAGCGUGUGUAGGCGGGCCCGUAAGUGUCUUGUGAAAUCCCACGGCUCAACCGUGGAACUGCUGGGCAUACUGCGGGUCUUGGGCCAACUAGGGGCAGCCGGAACAAGCGGUGGAGCGGUGAAAUGCGUAGAUAUCAGGAGGAACACCGAUGGCGAAGGCAGGUCUCUGGGCAUUAACUGACGCUGAGGAGCGAAAGCAUGGGGAGCGAACAGG